UGGGGAAUAUUGCACAAUGGGGGAAACCCUGAUGCAGCGACGCCGCGUGAACGAAGAAGGUAUUCGUAUCGUAAAGUUCUGUCCUAUGGGAAGAUAACGACAGUACCAUAGAAGAAAGCUCCGGCUAAAUACGUGCCAGCAGCCGCGGUAAUACGUAUGGAGCGAGCGUUGUCCGGAAUUAUUGGGCGUAAAGGGUACGCAGGCGGUUUAAUAAGUCGAAUGUUAAAGAUCGGGGCUCAACCCCGUAAAGCAUUGGAAACUGAUAAACUUGAGUAGUGGAGAGGAAAGUGGAAUUCCUAGUGUAGUGGUGAAAUACGUAGAUAUUAGGAGGAAUACCAGUAGCGAAGGCGACUUUCUGGACACAAACUGACGCUGAGGUACGAAAGCGUGGGGAGCAAACAGG
rnacentral:rRNA from 1 species